UACGUAGGGCGCAAGCGUUAUCCGGAAUUAUUGGGCGUAAAGAGCGUGUAGGCGGUCCGGUAAGUCAGCUGUGAAAGUCAAGGGCUCAACCCUUGAAUGCCGGUUGAUACUGUCGGGCUAGAGUCCGGAAGAGGCGAGUGGAAUUCCCGGUGUAGCGGUGAAAUGCGCAGAUAUCGGGAGGAACACCAAUGGCGAAGGCAGCUCGCUGGGACGGUACUGACGCUGAGACGCGAAAGCGUGGGGAGCAAACAGGG
rnacentral:rRNA from 1 species